rnacentral:rRNA from 1 species
UACGUAGGGGGCGAGCGUUAUCCGGAAUUACUGGGCGUAAAGCGCACGCAGGCGGUUCGCCAAGUUUGGCGUGACAGUUGUCGGCUCAACCGACAAAGGACUUCAAAAACUGGUGAACUUGAGGACGAGAGAGGAACAUGGAACUCCAGGUGUAGUAGUGAAAUGCGUAGAUAUCUGGAAGAACACCAAUGGCGAAGGCAAGGUUCUGGCUCGUUUCUGACGCUCAGGUGCGAAAGCCAGGGGAGCGAACGGG